AGGUCAUCAUCCAAGGGUUUAAGAGCUAUAAAGAACAAGUUGCUACUGAUGAUUUCAGUCCAAAAGUUAACUUUGUUGUUGGUGCGAAUGGAUCUGGCAAGUCAAACUUUUUUCAUGCAAUUCGUUUUGUAAUAAGCGACCUCUUUCAUAAUCUGCGCAAUGAAGAUAGACACACUUUCCUCCAUG